rnacentral:misc_RNA from 1 species
UAGGCUCAAUGUCGUGUUUUACAGCUUGAUCUCAGGUAUAAUCCCACUGGUAAGACAAUUUUAUAUCUUUCAACAGAUUAUAACCGGAAUUGAAAGUUUCGCAUACUUGUUUCACUGUGUAACGACACUUGUGGGGGCGUCCCCCGCAACUCCCAUUAUACGCGGGUAUACCGGCGCGAGUUCAUUAUAGUUCGAGUUCCGCUUCGAAAUUUUUGAAACAAUAAAGAAUAAAUUGAUUUCAAAGCGACAGCUCGGAAUACGGGAAUGGUACAGAUGUGUACGGGAAUAAGGAAAACGAAUACACUUUAACGAUCAGGCUACGAAUUAAGAGAAUUAAGACAUUUUGUUUAUUCAACCACGCGGUGUUUUAGUUGCAAUGGAGGGUACAGUGAAGAGUACUCGUAACGAAUUACGAUGUCACAAUACAGAGUGUAUCAAGGAAACCUUGAAUACUGUUCUACAACUAUACGUAGCGAUCCUCGCGAAAGACAUCGACGAAAUAAUCGACGUGCUACCCCACAUAUUUCUCGUCAUCGGAAGCCUAACUAAAUUCGGAAACAUUUUUCUGAACAAGGAACGCGUACGUACAGAUUACUUCAAGGCUUCUACUGUGUAUUACACUUACUUUCUAUUGCAGAUAAAAAUAUUAUUAGAUCGAAUCGUACGCGACUGGAAAACAAUGGGAAGCGAAUUACACGUGCUGGACGAGAUCACUGCAACGGGGUACAGGCUCGCGCAUUUAUACAGAGUUACCCUGCUGACGUUUACAAUGAUUUUUAAUUACAUCCCGUUAAUUCCUCCGACUUUGGAUAUCAUAUUACCGCGGAAUGAAAGUAGACCGAGACAUCAACUGUUUCAAGUUAAUUACGUGUUCUUCGACGCUGAUGACCACUUUAUAUUCACUUAUCUUCACAUGUUUUGGGCGGGGUCUUUGACCGUGUUCGUAGUCGUCACCGUAGAUUCCUUGUACAUGCUUAUCAUUCACCAUGCUAGCGGGUUGUUCGACGUGUGUGGAUAUCAGGUUGAAAUGGCGUGCAGAGAGGAAAAAGUGAAAGAUGCAAUGUUCAAGCAGUGCCUGAUCACUCAUCAUAAAGCUCUAGAGUUUUUCAAUUUGCUACAGGCCUGCAGCCAGAGCAUGAAUUUAUUACUGGUCGGAAUGAACAUGUUACUCAUCAGCACGACGGGAGUCCAGGUAAAAAUAUCUUUAGCCAUCAAACAUAUCGAAGCUCAUACACUCUUUUCACAGAUAAUACUCUACAUGGAUCGACCUCUGGACUCGGUCAGAUUUGUCCUGUUCUUUUUAGGCGAACAUUUUCAUUUAUACAUCAUCAGUCUGUUAGGGCAGAUCGUGCUAAACCACAGUUUACUGCUGCCAGAAAAAAUAUACGGUUCCAACUGGGACGACAUACCGAUUAAGUUUCAGAAAUUACUUUUCAAAAUGAUAAUUAGAUGCAGCAGACCGUGCAUUUUGAGUGCGGGAGGCCUGUACGACAUGAACAUGGAGAACUAUGGGAAAGUAUGUAUUGCAUUCGAAAUCUGUUGUGCUUGGAUAUACGUUAACGAGCAACAUUUUCUCGGCAAAAGGCGGUGAAGGCGUGCAUGUCGUAUUUCACAAUGUUUCUGUCAAUGCGGGAAUGAUAUGACGCGCCACUUGAAGCCAUCUUGACAAUGACGAUGAAAAUGCAACGCUGAGGAAACUUGCUAGCAAACAUUGGUUAAUUUCUGGAAGGACUAACUUUUUUAUCACAAUUUUUGCAGUUAUGUGCGGUAAUCCGAUACACGGAUCUCGAUGGAAUAAUCGAUCAAGCACCGAAUUUAC